rnacentral:rRNA from 1 species
AGAUGCGAUCGUAUCAUCACUAAUGCAGCAGAGCCCAUCCGAACUCCGCAAUUAAGCGUGCUUGGGCGAGAGUAGUACUAAGAUGGGAAACCAACUAGGAAGUUCUCGUGUUGCACCUU